GGCAGCGCCAGUUGUUGCUAAGCUGUCGAAAGACGCUGGCUAUUUAACUGUAGGGGUUGUGUCUUAUCCAUUCAGAUUUGAAGGUCGCAGAAGGGCUGUACAGGCUUUGGAGGCAAUUGAAAAACUGCAGCGAUCUGUAGACACUUUGAUUGUCAUACCCAAUGAUCGGUUGCUUGAUCUGGCACCUGCGCAGACACCAUUACAAGAGGCUUUUCUACUUGCCGACGAUGUAUUACGUCAAGG
rnacentral:misc_RNA from 1 species